UCUACUUAUGAGGGAGAUGUUGAACUUUCGGUAGGAAUUGGAAAUAGUUAAAAUUUUAUAAUAGAAUUCAUAGUUAGAAAAUGUAAUGUAAAAAUUUCAAUUAUAAAUGAUCUAAGAGCUACAUGCCUGAUUCUCCAUAGCAGGUACAUAAGCAACCUUCAGGUGCAGUUCAAAGUAAGUAGCUAAAACCUACAUGCUAUAAUUACUUUGUGAUUUUGCUUUUAAAUUAUAUAUAGACAAUAUAUAACUAGCAAUAUGUUUGGUGGUGUAUUUUUAUCGUUCUCUAAUUAAGAUAGAAGGUAUAUAAGUGUGAGGUUGAUUUAUUUGCUUAAAUUGAUAGUUUGAUGCAUUUAUAUUCUAUUGAAGGUCUUAAUGCUUAGUUUGAAAUUUUCAAGAGAAACUGUCAGUUGUAUAUGAGUCAUGCAUGUCCUGUUGGGGAAGAGGGCUUUGACAUUUUUAAAAUGAUGAAAUUUUGAAUUAAUACUGUAAUAAAAACUUAAUUAAAAAUAUCAUAUGCAAAUUUAACAUUAUGGGCUCACACUUGUAACUUGCAAGCAUAAAAUGCUAUUGGUGUUGUAACUCUACAAGAUCUAAUAAUGAAAUUAGACUUUGUUAAUCUUUUAUUAAUUUUUAAUUAGACAUUUUUAAAUGCUAUAUAUACCCAUAAAAUGCUAAAUUUGAUCCAAUUAUCUAGGAAUAGGAAUAAAAUGUUCAUAGGGUGUGACGAAAUUUUUA
rnacentral:misc_RNA from 1 species